AGAGUUUGAUCAUGGCUCAGGACGAACGCUGGCGGCAUGCCUAAUACAUGCAAGUCGAGCGAACAGAUGAAGUGCUUGCACUUCUGACGUUAGCGGCGAACGGGUGAGUAACACGUAAGGAAUCUACCUAUAAGCGGGGGAUAACAUUCGGAAACGGGUGCUAAUACCGCAUAAUAUCUUCUUCCGCAUGGAAGAAGAUUGAAAGACGGCUCUGCUGUCACUUAUAGAUGACCUUGCGGUGCAUUAGUUAGUUGGUGGGGUAACGGCCUACCAAGACGAUGAUGCAUAGCCGACCUGAGAGGGUGAUCGGCCACAUUGGGACUGAGACACGGCCCAAACUCCUACGGGAGGCAGCAGUAGGGAAUCUUCCGCAAUGGGCGAAAGCCUGACGGAGCAAUGCCGCGUGAGUGAAGAAGGCCUUCGGGUCGUAAAACUCUGUUAUAAGAGAAGAACAAAUUGUAGAGUAACUGCUACAGUCUUGACGGUAUCUUAUCAGAAAGCCACGGCUAACUACGUGCCAGCAGCCGCGGUAAUACGUAGGUGGCAAGCGUUGUCCGGAUUUAUUGGGCGUAAAGGGAGCGCAGGUGGUUUCUUAAGUCUGAUGUGAAAGCCCACGGCUUA
rnacentral:rRNA from 1 species